CCCUUAGAUGUUCUGGGCUGCACGCGCGCUACACUGAAGCUAUCAACACGUUUUCCCUCCCUGAGAAGGGCGGGUAACCUUUUGAAUCAGCUUCGUGGAAGGGAUCGGGGCUUGCAAUUGUUCCCCGUGAACCAGGAAUUCCUAGUAGACGCGAGUCAUAAGCUCGCAUCGAUUAAGUCCCUGCCCUUUGUACACACCGCCCGUCGCUACUACCGAUUGAACGUUUUAGUGAGGCAUUUGGACCGACGCAUCUCAGUUUAACCGCUGGUUUGUGUUGGAAAGACUUCCAAACUUGAGCGUUUAGAGGAAGUAAAAGUCGUAACA
rnacentral:rRNA from 1 species